rnacentral:rRNA from 1 species
UGGGGAAUUUUGGACAAUGGGGGAAACCCUGAUCCAGCCAUCCCGCGUGUGCGAUGAAGGCCUUCGGGUUGUAAAGCACUUUUGGCAGGAAAGAAACGUCAUGGGUUAAUACCCCGUGAAACUGACGGUACCUGCAGAAUAAGCACCGGCUAACUACGUGCCAGCAGCCGCGGUAAUACGUAGGGUGCAAGCGUUAAUCGGAAUUACUGGGCGUAAAGCGUGCGCAGGCGGUUCGGAAAGAAAGAUGUGAAAUCCCAGAGCUCAACUUUGGAACUGCAUUUUUAACUACCGGGCUAGAGUGUGUCAGAGGGAGGUGGAAUUCCCGUGUAGCAGUGAAAUGCGUAGAUAUGCGGAGGAACACCGAUGGCGAAGGCAGCCUCCUGGGAUAACACUGACGCUCAUUCACGAAAGCGUGGGGAGCAAACAGG